rnacentral:rRNA from 1 species
AUUGAACGCUGGCGGCAUGCCUAACACAUGCAAGUCGAACGGCAGCACAGCCCGCAAGGGUGGGUGGCGAGUGGCGGACGGGUGAGGAAUACAUGGGAAUCUACCCUGUCGUGGGGGAUAACGUAGGGAAACUUACGCUAAUACCGCAUACGACCGAGAGGUGAAAGCGGCGGACCGCAAGGCGUCGCGCGGCUGGAUGAGCCCAUGUCGGAUUAGCUAGUUGGCGGGGUAAAGGCCCACCAAGGCGACGAUCCGUAGCUGGUCUGAGAGGAUGAGCAGCCACACUGGAGAUGAGACACGGUCCAGACUCCUACGGGAGGCAGCAGUGGGGAAUAUUGGACAAUGGGCGCAAGCCUGAUCCAGCAAUGCCGCGUGGGUGAAGAAGGCCUUCGGGUUGUAAACUGCUUUUGUACGGAGCGAAACGGCUCUCUCUAAUACAGGGGGCUAAUGACGGUACCGUAAGAAUAAGCACCGGCUAACUACGUGCCAGCCGCCGCAGUAACAC